GAAAAUCCAAAUACUAUCAUCACCAGGACCGACUUGUUUGUUGCCACUCAUAACAGAUCUGAUGGGUCUUACCCAACACAAACACAUCUUGAAAUAGCGGAAAGAAUAUUAUCGAUAGCUGGUAGUGAUCCUUCCAGUAAGCAUAAGGAUUUAGACUACGACCCAGUUUCACAGGUUUGUGGUCGUGAUAACAGAGGCCGGGUUAGGGGCAUGGGUUUGGGUAUUUCUAAGACUACUAUGAAGGUUGCCACCCCCUACAUCAUAGAAGCUCGGUCAGAGAGGAAUGCACGUAUGUCCAU